AUUGAACGCUGGCGGCAUGCCUUACACAUGCAAGUCGAACGGCAGCACGGGACCUUGCUCCUGGUGGCGAGUGGCGAACGGGUGAGUAAUACAUCGGAACGUACCCUGAAGUGGGGGAUAACGUAGCGAAAGUUACGCUAAUACCGCAUAUUCUGUGAGCAGGAAAGAGGGGGAGUCGCAAGACCUCUUGCUUUAGGAGCGGCCGAUGUCGGAUUAGCUAGUUGGUGAGGUAAAGGCUCACCAAGGCGACGAUCCGUAGCGGGUCUGAGAGGAUGAUCCGCCACACUGGGACUGAGACACGGCCCAGACUCCUACGGGAGGCAGCAGUGGGGAAUUUUGGACAAUGGGCGCAAGCCUGAUCUAGCCAUGCCGCGUGAGUGAAGAAGGCCUUCGGUUGUAAAGCUCUUCGGUCCGGGAAGAAAUCGCAUGGGUUAAUACCCUGUGUGGAUGACGGUACCGGAAUAAGAAGCACCGGCUAA
rnacentral:rRNA from 1 species